GAUGAACGCUAGCUACAGGCUUAACACAUGCAAGUCGAGGGGCAGCAUGAAGUUUGCUUGCAAACUUUGAUGGCGACCGGCGGAUGGGUGAGUAACGCGUAUCCAACCUGCCCCCUUCCCGGGCACAGCCCUUGGAAACGAGGAUUAACUCCCGAUGGCGUCGCCUUAACGCAUGUUUCGGCGACCAAAUGUUUAAGGAAGGGGAUGGGGAUGCGUCCCAUUAGCUUGUUGGCGGGGUAACGGCCCACCAAGGCUCCGAUGGGUGGGGGUUCUGAGAGGACGGUCACCCACACUGGAAGUGAGACACGGUCCAGACGACUACGGGAGGCAGCAGUGAGGAAUGUUGGUCAAUGGGGGCAACUCUGAACCAGCGAAGUAGCGUGAGGAACGACUGCCCUACGGGUUGUAUACCUCUUUUGUCGGGGAAUAAACCGCGCCACGUGUGGCGCUCUGCAUGUACCCGCAGAAUAAGGACCGGCUAAUUCCGUGCCAGCCGCCGCAGUAAGAC
rnacentral:rRNA from 1 species